rnacentral:rRNA from 1 species
AGUGAACGCUGGCGGUAGGCCUAACACAUGCAAGUCGAACGGCAGCACAGUAAGCGCUUGCCCUUACGGGUGGCGAGUGGCGGACGGGUGAGGAAUACAUCGGCAUCUACUUUUUCGUGGGUGAUAACGUAGGGAAACUUACGCUAACACCGCAUACGACCUACGGGUGAAAGCAAGGGAUCUUCGGACCUUGCGCGAUUGAAUGAGCCGAUGUCGGAUUAGCUAGUUGGCGGGGUAAAGGCCCACCAAGGCGACGAUCCGUAGCUGGUCUGAGAGGAUGAUCAGCCACACUGGAACUGAGACACGGUCCAGACUCCUACGGGAGGCAGCAGUAGGGAAUAUUGGACAAUGGGCGCAAGCCUGAUCCAGCCAUACCGCGUGAGUGAAGAAGGCCUUCGGGUUGUAAAACCCUUUUGUUAGGAAAGAAAAGCAGCAGGUUAAUACCCCGCUGUUCUGACGGUACCCAAAGAAUAAGCACCGGCUAACUUCGUG